AUUGAACGCUGGCGGCAGGCCUAACACAUGCAAGUCGAGCGGCAGCGACUUAACUGAACCUUCGGGGAACGUUAAGGGCGGCGAGCGGCGGACGGGUGAGUAAUGCCUGGGAAUAUGCCCUGAUGUGGGGGAUAACUAUUGGAAACGAUAGCUAAUACCGCAUAAUCUCUUCGGAGCAAAGAGGGGGACCUUCGGGCCUCUCGUGUCAGGAUUAGCCCAGGUGGGAUUAGCUUGUUGGUGAGGUAAUGGCUCACCAAGGCAACGAUCCCUAGCUGGUCUGAGAGGAUGAUCAGCCACACUGGAACUGAGACACGGUCCAGACUCCUACGGGAGGCAGCAGUGGGGAAUAUUGCACAAUGGGGGAAACCCUGAUGCAGCCAUGCCGCGUGUGUGAAGAAGGCCUUCGGGUUGUAAAGCACUUUCAGUAGGGAGGAAGGUAGUGUAGUUAACACCUGCAUUAUUUGACGUUACCUACAGAAGAAGCACCGGCUAACUCCGUGCCAGCAGCCGCGGUAAUACGGAGGGUGCGAGCGUUAAUCGGAAUUACUGGGCGUAAAGCGCAUGCAGGCGGCCUGUUAAGUCAGAUGUGAAAGCCCGGGGCUUAACCUCGGAAUUGCAUUUGAAACUGGCAGGCUAGAGUCUUGUAGAGGGGGGUAGAAUUUCAGGUGUAGCGGUGAAAUGCGUAGAGAUCUGAAGGAAUACCAGUGGCGAAGGCGGCCCCCUGGACAAAGACUGACGCUCAGAUGCGAAAGCGUGGGGAGCAAACAGG
rnacentral:rRNA from 1 species